rnacentral:rRNA from 1 species
GACGAACGCUGGCGGCGUGCUUAACACAUGCAAGUCGAACGGAAAGGCCCUGCUGUUGCGGGGGGCUGGAGUGGCGAAGGGGAGAGGAACACGUGAGUAAACUGCCCCUGACUUCGGGAUAAUUUCAGGAAACUGGGGCUAAUAGCGGAUAGGAGCUCCUGCAGCAAGGAGGGGGUUGGAAAGUUUCGGCGGGUGGGGAUGGACUCGCGGCUUAUCAGCUUGCUGGUGGGGUAGUGUAUUACCAAGGCUUUGACCGGUAGCCGGCCUGGGAGGGUGACCGGCCACGUCACGAUGGAGAUGAGACCCGGACUACACCCGGAGGGAACGGUGGAGUAGAUUGCACUAUGCACGGGAGGCAAAUGCGGCAAAGCCACGUCCGGGAUGACAGCAAUCGGGUUGUAAACCGCUUUCCCCUGUGACGGAGCGUGAGUGACGGUACCGGGUAAAGAAGCCCCGGCUAACUACGUG